UCUACGGGGGGCUGCAGUAGGGAAUCUUCCGCUAUGGACGAAAGUCUGACGGAGCAACGCCGCGUGAGCGAAGAAGGUCUUCGGAUCGUAAAGCUCUAUUGUCGGGGAAGAACAAGUACGGUAGGAAAUGGCCGUACCUUGACGGUACCCGACGAGAAAGCCACGGCUAACUACGUGCCAGCAGCCGCGGUAAUCCGUAAGUGGCAAGCGUUGUCUGGAAUGAUUGGGCGUAAAGCACGCGCAGGCGGUCCUUUAAGUCUGAAGUGAAAACUUGCGGCUCAACCGAAGGGGGGAAUUGGAAAGUGGUGGAGUUGGGUGCAGAAGAGGAACUCGGAAUUACAGGUAGAGCGGUGAAAUGCGUGGAGAAGGGUGGGAACACCAGAGGCGAAGGCGGCUUACUAGUCUGAAUUUGAAGCUGAGGCGCGAAAGCGGGGAGGGCAAACAGGUUGUUUGUCCCCUGUAGUC
rnacentral:rRNA from 1 species